AUUGAACGCUGGCGGAAUGCUUUACACAUGCAAGUCGAACGGCAGCACGGGGGCAACCCUGGUGGCGAGUGGCGAACGGGUGAGUAAUACAUCGGAACGUGCCCAGUCGUGGGGGAUAACGUAGCGAAAGUUACGCUAAUACCGCAUACGAUCUACGGAUGAAAGCGGGGGACCGUAAGGCCUCGCGCGAUUGGAGCGGCCGAUGUCAGAUUAGGUAGUUGGUGAGGUAAAGGCUCACCAAGCCGACGAUCUGUAGCUGGUCUGAGAGGACGACCAGCCACACUGGGACUGAGACACGGCCCAGACUCCUACGGGAGGCAGCAGUGGGGAAUUUUGGACAAUGGGCGCAAGCCUGAUCCAGCAAUGCCGCGUGCAGGAUGAAGGCCUUCGGGUUGUAAACUGCUUUUGUACGGAGCGAAAAGGCUCUCUCUAAUACAGGGGGCUCAUGACGGUACCGUAAGAAUAAGCACCGGCUAACUACGUGCA
rnacentral:rRNA from 1 species